UGAUUUUUUAUAUAUUGGAAUUGCAUUUCAUUCAUUUGUGAUUAAUUUUAAUUCUUGUAGUUUAAAAAUAUCUUAGUUUUGUUAUUAAGUACAAUGGCUGGAAUCAAAGAUUGUUAACCUUGGCAUUUACAAGCUCCGUUGGUGUGACGCUAGUUAUAAUAGCAAGUGCUCUGCCUCAGUAUAAAUCAUGGUUUCCAUUUCUCGGGCUGAUUUUCAACCUUAUAUGUCCAAUCCCAACAAUUAUUGCCCGUCGCCGCACAGACAGUGUGGGAGGCAUCAGCAGUGCUUGUAUGGAGUCUGCAAUUUUCAUCACCAUGGGCAUCGUUGUUAGCUCUUUUGCGUAUCCCAUUGUGCUGGCACGAGCUGGUUUGAUAAUGUGGCCCGCUAGCUACCUGACAUUGGUGGGCAAUGUUAUCGUAUAUUUGGCUAUCAUCGGUUUCUACAUUGUUUUCGAAAUGGAGGAUACAGAUUAUACAAUGUGGUGAAGAUCAAACCUUAUUUAUUGGAUCGAAACAGAUACUCUUUAAGCUGAUUUUUGUAUAAUGUUUUGUCUACAUAAGUCUGAAAUUAAGAUACUGAUUUUGUUUUUUAAAAUUGAUAUUAAGUGUACCCAAUGCCUAAAAAUGUGGUUAAAGAUGCAUAAAAAUUGUUUUUAUUAAAAUGCUUGUGCUAAAUGUUGAGGUAUGCUUAAAUUAAAUUUGAUAAAAACUGUAAAAUCUGAAUUUUGAUGUAGAUGUAACUUGUUUUAUUUUACCUUAGAAUAUGUUAAUUUUUUUAUAGUAGAACCUUAAAUAAUUUAUAACUGAAACUCAUUUUAACAUGUAUCUAACAUUUUUCCUUUUGUUUAUCCUCAAGUUGUAGAUCAUAGGUUUAGUUAAUGUUUCGAAGUACAUACUUCAUAUAAAAGUGUUUAUUUUUAUAGGUAUAUAGUAUUAUAUUACAAGCUAUUAUAAUAGAUAUGUUAUAAUUUGAAAAUUAUUAAUGCUGUAUUCAAAAUAUGUGUCAAUUCAAAUUUUACCCAACAUUGUAAUGUAACCUUUCAUUACUAAAAGUAGACUAUGUAUAUAUGUAUUUUAUAUUGCAACAAAGAUUAAAAACAUUUUUUGGUA